UUUGCACCUAUAUUUUUUUUAAAUGUAGGUCAUUUUAAGUUAAGACAUUGACGGACAGUUUUCUUAGGUAAAUGAAUUUAAGGUUUAAUUGACUGAAAUGUUUCAGUCAAUGUUGUGUUUCUUUCAAUUUGAAAUAUCUCGAUUUAUUUAAUACAGCUCAGUCAGUUACAUUUUAUAUUAUUAAGAAUUCUUAUUCGGUUUAACACUAGAUGACGUAUCAGUUCAUUGAGUAUUUCAGAGCCAUUUUUUUCUUUUCAAUUAUCCGUAUUGAAAGUGAUAUUUUUAAAAUAUAAUUGCAAUGAAACAACAGCAACAUAAGAAACGACCAAAUAUACAAAGGAAGUGCAGCUAUUUUAAUACUAAAAAAAAGAUCUAUCAGAACAUGGUGAAAGUGCAGCUAAAGUUAAGUUAGGGAAACUACGGAUAAGCAACGUUUCCUUUUACUUCCAGAAAAAUAAAAGCCUCAUAUUUGCUAUUUAUUAAAAAAUCAUUAAAAGCAACACUUCGACCAAGUUUGUUUUAGUUUGUUGGUAUUUAUCGGUGGAGCAGCAGCACAUUUUCCACAGACAGUUUUACUGUCUGUUGUCUUGUUUUAAUCAGUUUUCAGUUCAGUAGUUCAGUCCUUCGGCCGAUUGGACCAACAGACACUGAAGGACUCCUACAGCUGGCUGAGUGAAAAGGUCGGAGAUUGCAGCAUCUGAGGGCCUCUUCAAAAGAAGACGUAGUUGAUGAAGGUGUUCUGGAGCAGGACCAGAAAGACCACGAACAAGCAGCCUUGAGAUCUUAGGCAGCGUCUCCCUCAGGUCCCUCUCUAUCUCCCCACACAUCCACCAACCACUGGAACACAUCUCCAAAGUUCUGCCGGGUCAGCUCAGCUUCCCUUCAGAAGAAGUGCCGCCACCUGCCAGAUGAAGGAGCCUUUUGAGAGGCAGCUGGCAUCAUGAUUGGACUGUACUUUGGUCUGUUCCAAUCCAGCUUCAGCUCCAGAGACGGCAGGCGGGACGAGUCAACGGAGGCCGGGUGGACGAAGGCAUGCAGCUGAGUACAAUCCAGAAAACAACUGAGGAGGAGUGCAGCGACCCAGGGCCAGAACAAGCAGAGUAUCAUGACCAAAGAACUACAGACUCUUCACAACCUGCUCAAACUCUUGGUACAGGACCUCACCACACGGGUCAAGAAGGUUUCCAUCUCAUUUCUACUCUGAAGCUCACCUUCUCCUGCUCAAACUGCUGACAAAUGUUUCUGCUGCUCUAAAGUCUGGUCUCCAGAACUUCCUAAAAACUCUCAAAGUCUCUUCUGCUGCAGGUUGCUUUGUAGAACUGUUACAGAAAACCUCACUAAACCACAUGGAGGGGCCUCAAGAUAGUCAUUCAAAUGAAACCAUACAAAAACCAAACUAGUACAACCCAAACGCUAAAGUCUCCUGCAGCCUACCAGAGAACCUCUGAGAACAGAGAAUCAGGACAGGAACUCUUACCUUCUGGACAACCAACGCUGGUUCUCAAACCAGAAUACAGAAUGUGUCUGACCAAAAACCUCUAAAGACUCACUACAGCCAAGAUAAAGACACAACUCAGCUGCAACAAAUCCACUAAUCACUGCACACAUUAGCACCAUGUGCUAACUGUGGCUAAAGAACCACAUUUACCAAGACAACUAUCCAGUACAAAGCCCUAAAACACAACAAGAAACACAUUAAAGACAAUUUUACUGCUGGAAGCUGCAAGCCAACGCCUAAAGAACAAACUAAAGCAAAGGAGCCAAACCCUGUUCAGUGGUGAAGAGAAGCAGAGGAAAUGUUUGUCUGCAGCUAAAUAAAGCAGGAAGACACUGAGCUGCUCAGGUGUUCCUGAUAACACCAAGCAGCCACCUGGACAGCCAAUAGGAACACAGCUUACUGGAAGUCCAGAGGGCUGGGUUAGUGAAGGAAAUUUAAUUUAAAGUUGAGGCAGAAAGUUAACAAAGAAAGUUGAAAACCACAUUCUGAUACCUGAAAUCUCCGAGUUUUCACACAAAGAACACCUGAACAUGUCAAACUGGUUUCAUAGUAGAACCAUCAUUGUAAAAACGUCAUAGUAUGGUGUGUUGCUCAAAAAACAUUACGACCCGGCUGUCUAGGGUUGCCGAGGAGCAACACAAAAACAGGACAAAUGCUGGAUAUUUAUUUGAAAGAGUAAGUUUACAACAUGUGAGCAGAAAAAUCACAAAGUCUGUCUUUAGUUCAGCUGAAAAUAUUAGUUUUUGUCUUUUUUAUUGACCAAACUUUUCAGGAAGUAGAUGAAGAAUAAUUAAAGCUCUCAUGUAGAAGUCCAACUUAUUUUGGAUCAUUGUGGAGAGUUUAAUCUUAGAGUUUGUACAGCUGUUGAGUUUUUAGAGUCACAUGGAUUGUUUUGACAUUUAAUAACUGAGUCCUGAAAUAAAAUUACAGUUGUGGA